GAGGGCGCGGGAGGGGGGCGGAGGCGGGGAAGCCCUCCCUCGCGCCGCCCUGCUGCCCGCCUCCUCGCGAGCUCCUCCUCCCCUGCCUCCUCCUUCUCCUUCUAAUCCUCCUCCCAUUCCCUCCUCUCCGCCCCUCCUCCCCUGACUCAUCCUCUCCUCUCGAUUCUCCUCCUCCUUCCUCCCCUGACCUCUUCUCCCCCUAACUCCUACUCCCUCCACUCCGUCCUCCUCCUUCCCUCUCCCCCCUCUCCCCCCCACCACCACCCCCGCCCUGUGUCCCAAACUGUGGCACAAUAGCGCUCAGCUCCUCUGUCUAUUCUGUGUCCAGCAGGAGCCCGCGGUGAUUCAUUGCUCCAAUUAGGGGCUCUGCAGCCCGUGGCUCGGGCUGUCUGAAGGGUCUCCUUUGGGACCCACGAAACGCAUCAGCCGCUGCUGCUGAUCUUUAAGGAAAGGUCAAGCCGGACGCACUAGAGCCAGCAUCUUCUGCCUCCUACGUCCUUCUAUCUCCCAAGAGUCAACUUCUCCCAGGCCCAACCUGCACACAGAAUAGCCAGGCCAGGCUUCGGACCUGGGCCCAAAGCCCCAAACCCCAUUCUGCCAGCUGUGUGUACCUCUGGCCUCUUAACUCUGCAAACCUCAGUCUCCUGCUAUGUGCAAUGGGCACAUGCUCCCUCCAUGGUGGUCCAAAUGAGAGCAAGAAAGAUGCCUGGCAAAGAAGGCUGAUAUUGUGGAAGACCAUGUGUGCACGCUGGGCUGCAGACCCCCAGGUCCAAGCUCACAGACGUGGCAUGGCAGCGCUUUGAGUGAGACCCUUCUGUCACCGCGACCUGGACCUCCACCGUCUGUCUCAGCUCUGUAUGGGUCACCGUAACCCUCUCGAAACCACAGUGCACAGGUGUGAUUUCCAGUUACAGGGAGGCAAACUGACACAGAGAGGGUGAGUACCGUGCCCAAGAUCACACAGCCUGUUACUGAAGGGCUGGGAUUCCAAGCCAGGCUUGAGUAGACAGAGGUGAGAGAAUGGACAUGGAAGAUUCAGGACCAGCACAGCACCUAAUCCAAGGUCACACAAGGAAACUUUCCUAAACCCCAGUCAUAGCUCUUGCUCCUUGGAAAGGGGUGGUACCGCCGAUGUGUUCUUGCUUUGUGUCUUAAGAACUUUUUCUUGGGUGAACAAGAUGGUUCCAGUGAGUAAAGGUGCUUGCUGCUAACCCUGACAACCGGAGUUCAGUCCCUGGAACCCACGUGGUAGAAGGAGAGAGGUGACUCCUGAAGGUUGUCUUCUGAUUUUCUCAUGAGUGCUGUGGCUCGUGCAUGCAUUUGUGUGCUCUUAUGCAUUUGCGUACCUGUACACACACACACACACACACACACACACACACACACACACACACUAAAUAAA